GUUUAAAUUUAGAUAAUGCAAUAUCAAAUUACGGUACAUUUCAAAAGUUAGGUAAUAAAUUAAUUGAAUAAAUUUUUAUUAGAGAAACAAAAAGUACAUAUUAAGAUGUGAUUGUAUUUCAAAAAAUAAGUCUUCAUAUUUUUAACUGUUUGCUAUAAUUAUUUUUGUGAAUAUUCAAAAUUUUGGAAAAAAAGUAAUAAGAAAACACUUGUCUCAUAAGUUUAGGUCAGGGUUUCCCAACCAGGGGUACGAGAUGGCAUUCCAGGGAGUUGAGAUAACAUUUCAAAAGAAUGUUAUGCUAUUAUUAUAUUCCAAAAAUAAUUGCUAUCAACAUUUUCAGGCUAUUCUAGUGAGAUUGCCUAGACUUUUUUUCUCACUGCAGGGUCCAUUAACUCAAAAUGCCUGGUUAACAUUCAAGAUAACUAGUGAAAUUGCCAGAUCAGUGUCCCUUGAGGCUCGCUUCUGCAGCAUGCAUGUGCAUGGAGUACUGGAUAAUUUAUUAAAAGCCAAG
rnacentral:lncRNA from 1 species